rnacentral:rRNA from 1 species
UACAGAGGUCUCGAGCGUUGUUCGGAUUCAUUGGGCGUAAAGGGUGCGUUGGUGGUGAGGUAAGUCGGAUGUGAAAUCUCGGAGCUUAACUCCGAAAUGGCAUUGGAAACUACCUUGCUCGAGGGUUGGAGGGGGGACUGGAAUACUUGGUGUAGCAGUGAAAUGCGUAGAUAUCAAGUGGAACACCAGUGGCGAAGGCGAGUCCCUGGGCAGCUCCUGACACUGAGGCACGAAAGCUAGGGGAGCAAACAGG